rnacentral:sRNA from 1 species
AUUAGUAUUCUGAAGAAUUCUUUCUUUUUGAAUAGCACUUAAACCUUUUUUUGUUAUUAUUCAAAUUUUAAAUGACCAACAUGAACCUUAUAUUGUUUUUGAAAAAUGUUAAUUAUGUAAACUCUCUUACACUUACAUUAAUGUUGAUGAUGAAAAUAAAAUAAUUAUUAGUAAAACAGAUCUUAAAAGAAAGAGAAAAAACUAAUAAUAAUUAAUUUAAGAAAAAUGAUUUGUGAAAAAAAUAAAUAUAAACUUGUGGAGAUUUUUAAAUUAUCAUGGGGAAAAGAAAAAAGAAAGUUUUUAAUUUUAUUUUGUUUGAAAGCCAUGUAUUCCAGACUUUACAAAAAAGAAAAGAAAAUAAAGAACAUACAAAAAACUUAAGGCUAUAAGAACUCAUUGAAAAACUAAAGUAAAAAAAGCAUGAUUGGCAAAAAUAAAACUUUGAAGACUUUAGAAUACUCUCAAACCCUUGAAAGUUCUUGCCAAUCACUCCUAUGUGUUUAUUACAUAUGGAGUGUGUAAAGAGACUAACGACCAACAACUAACGACCUCAAGACAAAAGCACUGCAUAUAUGUCUUUUCUAUAAAAUAAGUUGAGGUCAACUAACUGUAUUUUUAUAAAAGUCGCUAUAAGAAAUUUGAAUUU